UAAAGACCUAACUACAACCGGCUAAUACAAUCCACAGAUUAAAAACCAAAGAAUUUGGCGGUAUCUUAAAUACUCAGGGGAACCUGUACCUUUAUUUGAUAAUCCACAAAACUCAAUCUACUACUAGAACUUCAGCCUGUGUACUGCUGUCGCCAGUAAACCUCUAAAAGUAAGUUUACCUAAAAUGAAAAUACAUAUAACGUCAAGUCAAAGUGCAGCCAAUGUAGUAGAGGUAUAUGGGUUACAAUUUAUACAUAUGAAAUACGAAUUACUACAAUAAAAAUAGUAUAAAGGUGAACUUGAUAGUAAUAUACAAAUAAAAAACAUAUAAACUAAUACCUAAGAUAUGCACACAUCGCCCGUCGCUCUCAUUCAACUCG
rnacentral:rRNA from 1 species